rnacentral:rRNA from 1 species
GAUGAACGCUGGCGGCGUGCCUAAUACAUGCAAGUCGAGCGAACGGACGAGAAGCUUGCUUCUCUGAUGUUAGCGGCGGACGGGUGAGUAACACGUGGAUAACCUACCUAUAAGACUGGGAUAACUUCGGGAAACCGGAGCUAAUACCGGAUAAUAUUUUGAACCGCAUGGUUCAAAAGUGAAAGACGCUCUUGCUGUCCCUUAUAGAUGGAUCCGCGCUGCAUUAGCUAGUUGGUAAGGUAACGGCUUACCAAGGCAACGAUGCAUAGCCGACCUGAGAGGGUGAUCGGCCACACGGGAACUGAGCCACGGUCCAGACUCCUACGGGAGGCAGCAGUAGGGAAUCUUCCGCAAUGGGCGAAAGCCUGACGGAGCAACGCCGCGUGAGUGAUGAAGGUCUUCGGAUCGUAAAACUCUGUUAUUAGGGAAGAACAUAUGUGUAAGUAACUGUGCACAUAUUGACGGUACCUAAUCAGAAAGCCACGGCUAACUACGUG